UUUUCUUCCAGCUGGAAAUCAUUUUAUUUUUCUGGUCAUAAAAACAAUACGCUCUAUGGCCAGGCACGGGUGGCUCAUGCUCGUAAUCCUAGAACUUAGGGAGGCUGAGGCAGGAGGAUCACUUGAGCCCAGGAGUUCAAGACCAGCCUGAGCAACAUGGUAAAACCCCAUCUUUACAAAAAAUUAACCAGGCGUGAUGGUGCGCACCUGUCGUCCCAGUUAGUCAGGAGGCUGAGGUGAGAGGAUUGUUAAGCCACUGCACCCCAGCCAAGGAGGACAAAGCAAGACCUUGUCUCAAAACAAAACAAAACACUAUCUCCAAAAACAUCAGCCUGUAUACAUCAUUUACAGCUUUUUGUAUGUCAGUCAGUCAUACUGUCAACAAAGCGAUUUAAAUAAUAGAGGGCCAGCACAGUGGCUUACGCCUGUAAUCCCAGCACUUUGGGAGGCCGAGGUGGGUGGAUCACGAGGUCAGGAGAUUGAGACCACGGUGAAACCCCAUCUCUACUAAA
rnacentral:lncRNA from 1 species